UUCAGCAUCGUUCACACCCUUUUAAGCCUUAGCCCCAACCAUCUCUUUAAGAACUCCCAUGUAAACAAAUGGCCAACCGUCAGCAUGGUUAAUCAUGGUUAGGGAGGAUAAUAUCUGUCUCUACACCAGUUAGAGGAGGAGGUGAUUAACACGGUCUCUACACCAGUUAGAGGAGGAGGCGGUGAUUAACAAUGUCUCUAUACCAGUUAGAGGAGGAGGAGGUGAUUAACACUGUCUCUAUACCAGUUAGAGGAGGUGAUUAACACUGUCUCUAUACCAGUUAGAGGGGGAGGAGGUGAUUAACACUGUCUCUAUACCAGGUAGAGGAGGAGGAGGUGAUUAACACUGCCUCUAUACCAGUUAGAGGAGGAGGUGGUGAUUAACACUGUCUCUAUACCAGUUAGAGGAGGUGGUGAUUAACACUGUCUCUAUACCAGUUAGAGGAGGAGGUGAUUAACACUGUCUCUAUACCAGGUAGAGGAGGAGUUGAAGACAGCUCAGAGAGACCUUCACAUCAUGAAGGAGUGAG
rnacentral:lncRNA from 13 species